GGGAGUAUAGCUCAGUGGUAGAACACGUGCUUAGCAUGCACGAGGUCCUGGGUUCAAUCCCCAGUGCCUCCA
rnacentral:tRNA from 1 species